AACGAACGCUGGCGGCAUGCCUAACACAUGCAAGUCGAACGAGACCUUCGGGUCUAGUGGCGCACGGGUGCGUAACGCGUGGGAACCUGCCCUUAGGUUCGGAAUAACUCCCCGAAAGGGGUGCUAAUACCGGAUAAUGUCUUCGGACCAAAGAUUUAUCGACUUUGGAUGGGCCCGCGUUGGUUUAGCUAGUUGGUAGGGUAAAAGCCUACCAAGGCGACGAUCCAUAGCUGGUCUGAGAGGAUGAUCAGCCACACUGGGACUGAGACACGGCCCAGACUCCUACGGGAGGCAGCAGUGGGGAAUAUUGGACAAUGGGCGAAAGCAUGAUCCAGCAAUGCCGCGUGAGUGAUGAAGGCCUUAGGGUUGUAAAGCUCUUUUACCCGGGAUGAUAAUGACAGUACCGGGAGAAUAAGCUCCGGCUAACUCCGUG
rnacentral:rRNA from 1 species